rnacentral:rRNA from 1 species
UACGGAGGGUGCAAACGUUGCUCGGAAUCAUUGGGCGUAAAGCGCACGUAGGCGGCCUGUUAAGUCGGAUGUGAAAGCCCCGGGCUCAACCCGGGAAGUGCAUACGAAACUGGCAGGCUUGAAUAUGGAAGAGGGUCGCGGAAUUCCCGGUGUAGAGGUGAAAUUCGUAGAUAUCGGGAGGAACACCAGUGGCGAAGGCGGCGACCUGGGCCAAUAUUGACGCUGAGGAGCGAAAGCGUGGGGAGCGAACAGG